rnacentral:sRNA from 1 species
AAGUUGGCUUUGCCUGUGGUUUGAAGGGUUGUAGGUGACGUGGACACCAGCCUCCCACGGACCCUAGACGAGCUUGGCAUCCACCUGACGAAGGAGGAGCUGAAGCUGAACAUCCGCCCCUUGCUCAGGCUGGUCUGCAAAAAGUUCUUUGGCGAGUUCACAGGCUUUGUGGACAUGUGUGUGCAGCAUAUCCCUUCUCCAAAGGUGGGCGCCAAGCCCAAGAUUGAGCACACCUACACCGGUGGUGUGGACUCCGACCUCGGCGAGGCUAUGAGUGACUGUGACCCUGAUGGCCCCCUGAUGUGCCACACUACUAAGAUGUACAGCACAGAUGAUGGAGUCCAGUUUCACGCCUUUGGCCGGGUGCUGAGUGGCACCAUUCAUGCUGGGCAGCCUGUGAAGGUACUGGGGGAGAACUACACCCUGGAGGAUGAGGAAGACUCCCAGAUAUGCACCGUGGGCCGCCUUUGGAUCUCUGUGGCCAGGUACCACAUCGAGGUGAACCGUGUUCCUGCUGGCAACUGGGUUCUGAUUGAAGGUGUUGAUCAACCAAUUGUGAAGACAGCAACCAUAAC